rnacentral:rRNA from 1 species
AAGCUUGCUUCCUAUGAAAUCGAGUGGCAAACGGGUGAGUAACGCGUAACAACCCUGCCCUUCGGAUGGGGAUACAGCCGGAAACGGCUGCUAAUACCGAAUACGAUCUUUUCGUCGCAUGACGGAAAAGAAGAAAAGGAAUGGCCUCUAUACAAAGCUAUCGCCGAAGGAGGGGUUUUGCGUCUGAUUAGCUGGUUGGAGGGGUAACGGCCCAACAAGGCGAUGAUCAGUAGCCGGUCUGAGAGGAUGAACGGCCACAUUGGGACUGAGACACGGCCCAGACUCCUACGGGAGGCAGCAGUGGGGAAUCUUCCGCAAUGGACGAAAGUCUGACGGAGCAACGCCGCGUGAGUGAAGAAGGUCUUCGGAUUGUAAAGCUCUGUUAUACGGGACGAAAAAGACGGAUGCCAACAGUAUCCGUCCGUGACGGUACCGUAAGAGAAAGCCACGGCUAACUACGUGCCAGCAGCCGCGGUAAAU